GAUGAACGCCGGCGGUGUGCCUAAUACAUGCAAGUCGUACGAAGCAAUUAAGAUGAAGUUUCGGAUGGAAUCUUGAUUGACUGAGUGGCGGACGGGUGAGUAACGCGUGGAUAACCUGCCUCACACUGGGGGAUAACAGUUAGAAAUGACUGCUAAUACCGCAUAAGCGCACAGUGCCGCAUGGCAGUGUGUGAAAAACUCCGGUGGUGUGAGAUGGAUCCGCGUCUGAUUAGCCAGUUGGCGGGGUAACGGCCCACCAAAGCGACGAUCAGUAGCCGACCUGAGAGGGUGACCGGCCACAUUGGGACUGAGACACGGCCCAA
rnacentral:rRNA from 1 species